CCUACGGGAGACAGCAGUGGGGAAUAUUGCACAAUGGGGGAAACCCUGAUGCAGCAACGCAGCGUGAGUGAUGACGGCCUUCGGGUUGUAAAGCUCUUUUUUCAGGGACGUUAAUUAAGGUACCUGAGCAGUAAGCUACGGCUAACUACGUGCCAGCAGCCGCGGUAAUACGUAGGAGGCGAGCGUUGUCCGGAUUUACUGGGCGUAAAGGGAGCGUAGGCGGGCUGUUAAGUGAGUUGUGAAAUACUUGGGCUCAACUUGAGUGCUGCAUUUCAAACUGGAAGUCUAGAGUACAGGAGAGGAGGAUGGAAUUCCUAGUGUAGCGGUGAAAUGCGUAGAGAUUAGGAAGAACACCAAUGGCGAAGGCGGUUCACUAAACUGUAACUGACGCUGAGGCUCGAAAGCGUGGGGAGCAAACAGGAUUAGAUACCCCUGUAGUC
rnacentral:rRNA from 1 species